rnacentral:rRNA from 1 species
GGCGCCGGGUGCGUNGCACGUGNCUAGCCUACCUAUACCUGGGGGAUAGCCCGCCGAAAGGCGGAUUAAUACCGCAUAAGGCUUGAGACUGGCAUCAGUUUUUAGUUAAAGAUUUAUUGGGUAUAGAUGGGGUUGCGGGUCAUUAGCUAGUUGGUUGGGUAACGGCUGACCAAGGCGACGAUGACUAGGGGAGCUGAGAGGCUGGUCCCCCACACGGGCACUGAGAUACGGGCCCGACUCCUACGGGAGGCAGCAGUAGGGAAUAUUGGGCAAUGGGCGAGAGCCUGACCCAGCCAUGCCGCGUGCAGGAAGAAGGCUUUCUGAGUCGUAAACUGCUUUUGAUAGGGAAGAAUAAGCGCUACGUGUAGCGUGAUGACGGUACCUACAGAAUAAGCACCGGCUAACUCCGUGCCAGCAGCCGCGGUAAU